AAAGGCACUACACAUUCCACCUUGCUCUCAUGGACCACUUUAUUUUGGUGCAAGCCAACAACCAUGUCCUGAGGACACUCAAGUUGCCAUGUGGAGAGGUCCCUAUGGAGAGGAAAUGAGAUCUUCCAGCAACUAGCACUAUGUGGCUGGCCAGCAAAAUCCUGAUUUUAUUCUGGAAUGCAUCCUAUCUGUACUUCCAAAUGGGAUCCUACCAUUCCUCCGGUGAUAGUUCUUUGUCCAGAGUGAAUACUGACAGUACAAAUGAAGUAAUGCAAAAGAAAUCACUGAACAGUACUGAAAAGUAGACAUGAUGAAGUUGGAAUACCAAAACUCUGUACUUAAUUGUUCUAAGAUAACAACCAUUUUGCAAAGAUUCUAUCUUUAUUCACAAGAGCCUAUAUUUAUGAACAGCUAUCUUCCAUUAUUAAAUUAAACAAAAACAUAUCUUCUGAA